UACGGAGGGUGCAAGCGUUGUUCGGAAUUAUUGGGCGUAAAGCGCGUGUAGGCGGUUUGUUAAGUCUGAUGUGAAAGCCCUGGGCUCAACCUGGGAAGUGCAUUGGAAACUGGCAGACUUGAAUACGGGAGAGGGUAGUGGAAUUCCUAGUGUAGGAGUGAAAUCCGUAGAUAUUAGGAGGAACACCGGUGGCGAAGGCGGCUACCUGGACCGAUAUUGACGCUGAGACGCGAAAGCGUGGGUAGCAAACAGGAUUAGAUACCCCCGUAGUCC
rnacentral:rRNA from 1 species